GUUGUCCCCGUCCCGCGCUGCCCUGUGGGGAAUGUCGGCCCGGUAGCAUGCGGGGUGGAGAUGGUCCAGCCUGGCUCCAUCCUGGCCCCCCAGACCGCACAGUGUUCCCUGAUCCCUCUGCCCUGCCUUCGUCCCCCCCAAACAGUUUGAUGUGAUGACGGGGGGACGUCCAGAAAUGACGCCGGCAUUUGGAAUCUGGAGAGGAGGGGGGCAGCUGGACCUGAGACGUGCGGACAGAGGGGAGAGAAGGCCCCACGCGCAGUCGCCGCCCUGACAGGGCCUCACUGCCCUGUUCCUCUGCUCGCCUGGCCCUGGCACCAGCAAAGGUGCCCCACUUGUGUCCACCUGCUGUGUGGGCUGCUGUGCGCAUCACAAGUGUGUGCGCUGGGGGCCCAGUGCUGACGUGGGUGGACAGAAAAGGCACAAAGGAGUCCAGUGAUGGUAUGGCCAGCACAGAAGGGAGCAAAAAGAGGGAAAAGAAAGCCAAGAGGAAACACACUGGACAGGCCCCUGAGCGAUGCUGACACCUCUCGUUCCAAUGCCAUGGCGUUUCAUUUCGCAAGAACCCGGUCUCCCCACCGUCAUUCCCUUUUGAAAUCUGGAGGCAGAAGGAUCAAGUUUAUCCUUUUUCUUUUUUUUUCUUUUCUCUCUUUGGCCACAUCCGCAU